AAAUGAAUAUCAUUUGUACCGUAGACAGUAGGUGCUCUUGUGGAGCUUAAUAUCCUACCGAGGUAUUUCAUUGAUAGAAAAACGCGUUUUAUCGCAUAGGCGCGUUUUUAUAUGGUACCUCCAUGUCUACGCGGCAUGGAGGUUUUUUGUUGAUGCG
rfam:Geobacillus sp. Y4.1MC1, complete genome.